CCUGGUGUCGAGAGCAAGCCGAUCCCGCCUCUUCCCAUUCCGAACAGAGAAGUUAAACGGUUUUACGGCGGAAAUAUUGCUUCGGCGGGAACGUAGCAAAAUGCCAGAA
rnacentral:rRNA from 1 species